UGGGGAAUAUUGCACAAUGGGGGGAAACCCUGAUGCAGCGACGCCGCGUGGAGGAAGAGGGUCUUCGGAUUGUAAACUCCUGUUGUUGGGGAAGAUAAUGACGGUACCCAACAAGGAAGUGACGGCUAACUACGUGCCAGCAGCCGCGGUAAAACGUAGGUCACAAGCGUUGUCCGGAAUUACUGGGUGUAAAGGGAGCGCAGGCGGGAAGACAAGUUGGAAGUGAAAUCUAUGGGCUCAACCCAUAAACUGCUUUCAAAACUUGUUUUUCUUGAGUAGUGCAGAGGUAGGCGGAAUUCCCGGUGUAGCGGUGGAAUGCGUAGAUAUCGGGAGGAACAC
rnacentral:rRNA from 1 species